rnacentral:tRNA from 1 species
GGAUUGUGGCUCAGCGUUGGAGCACUUGCCUAGCAUGUGCAAGGUCCUGGGUUCGAUCCUCAGCACCA